rnacentral:piRNA from 1 species
UAGUCAACGAAGUAUUUCUGGGGUUUUUC